rnacentral:snoRNA from 1 species
GUGCAAACUCAUUGCUAGCUCUGCAUAUGUGGCAGCAGCUAAGGGAACCAGGUUUGCCAAAGCCAUUGUGGUGCUAAGAAUGCACUGGUCACCAAAGCUGGUGUGCAUUCUAUCCUGGUACAGCC